AAUAGAUACCCGGGUAGUCCACGCCGUAAACGAUGAGUGCUAAGUGUUAGGGGGUUUCCGCCCCUUAGUGCUGCAGCUAACGCAUUAAGCACUCCGCCUGGGGAGUACGGUCGCAAGACUGAAACUCAAAGGAAUUGACGGGGGCCCGCACAAGCGGUGGAGCAUGUGGUUUAAUUCGAAGCAGCGCGAAGAACCUUACCAGGUCUUGACAUCCCAUUGACCACUAUGGAGACAUAGUUUUCCCUUCGGGGACAACGGUGACAGGUGGUGCAUGGUUGUCGUCAGCUCGUGUCGUGAGAUGUUGGGUUAAGUCCCGCAACGAGCGCAACCCUUGUUCUUAGUUGCCAUCAUUUAGUUGGGCACUCUAAGGAGACUGCCGGUGACAAACCGGAGGAAGGUGGGGAUGACGUCAAAUCAUCAUGCCCCUUAUGACCUGGGCUACACACGUGCUACAAUGGACGGUACAAACGGUUGCCAACCCGCGAGGGGAGCUAAUCCGAUAAAACCGUUCUCAGUUCGGAUUGUAGGCUGCAACUCGCCUACAUGAACG
rnacentral:rRNA from 1 species